GACGAACGCUGGCGGCGUGCUUAACACAUGCAAGUCGAACGGAAAGGCCCUGCUUUUGUGGGGUGCUCGAGUGGCGAACGGGUGAGUAACACGUGAGUAACCUGCCCUUGACUUUGGGAUAACUUCAGGAAACUGGGGCUAAUACCGGAUAGGAGCUCCUGCUGCAUGGUGGGGGUUGGAAAGUUUCGGCGGUUGGGGAUGGACUCGCGGCUUAUCAGCUUGUUGGUGGGGUAGUGGCUUACCAAGGCUUUGACGGGUAGCCGGCCUGAGAGGGUGACCGGCCACAUUGGGACUGAGAUACGGCCCAGACUCCUACGGGAGGCAGCAGUGGGGAAUAUUGCACAAUGGGCGGAAGCCUGAUGCAGCAACGCCGCGUGCGGGAUGACGGCCUUCGGGUUGUAAACCGCUUUCGCCUGUGACGAAGCGUGAGUGACGGUAAUGGGUAAAGAAGCACCGGCUAACUACGUGCCAGCAGCCGCGGUGAUACGUAGGGUGCGAGCGUUGUCCGGAUUUAUUGGGCGUAAAGGGCUCGUAGGUGGUUGAUCGCGUCGGAAGUGUAAUCUUGGGGCUUAACCCUGAGCGUGCUUUCGAUACGGGUUGACUUGAGGAAGGUAGGGGAGAAUGGAGUUCCUGGUGGAGCGGUGGAAUGCGCAGAUAUCAGGAGGAACACCAGUGGCGAAGGCGGUUCUCUGGGCCUUUCCUGACGCUGAGGAGCGAAAGCGUGGGGAGCGAACAGGCUUAGAUACCCUGGUAGUCCACGCUGUAAACGGUGGGUACUAGGUGUGGGGUCCAUUCCACGGGUUCCGUGCCGUAGCUAACGCUUUAAGUACCCCGCCUGGGGAGUACGGCCGCAGGGCUAAAACUCAAAGGAAUUGACGGGGCCCCGCACAAGCGGCGGAGCAUGCGGAUUAAUUCGAUGCAACGCGUAGAACCUUACCUGGGUUUGACAUGGAUCGGGAGUGCUCAGAGAUGGGUGUGCCUCUUUUGGGGUCGGUUCACAGGUGGUGCAUGGCUGUCGUCAGCUCGUGUCGUGAGAUGUUGGGUUAAGUCCCGCAACGAGCGCAACCCUUGUUCACUGUUGCCAGCACGUUAUGGUGGGGACUCAGUGGAGACCGCCGGGGUCAACUCGGAGGAAGGUGGGGAUGACGCCAAGUCAUCAUGCCCCUUAUGUCCAGGGCUUCACGCAUGCUACAAUGGCUGGUACAGAGAGUGGCGAGCCUGUGAGGGUGAGCGAAUCUCGGAAAGCCGGUCUCAGUUCGGAUUGGGGUCUGCAACUCGACCUCAUGAAGUCGGAGUCGCUAGUAAUCGCAGAUCAGCAACGCUGCGGUGAAUACGUUCCCGGGGCU
rnacentral:rRNA from 1 species